rnacentral:lncRNA from 1 species
GGGACAGCCAUCUCAGAUAGGCUUUCUCCAUCUGUUGGGAGCCUGGGCAAGUGGGAAAGAAGUCUUUUUCGAACGCUUCAGUUGUAUGGCUGGGCUACUUGGCAGGGCACUGGAAAUGACGAACUUGUGCAGCCUGCAAAUGAGACCACUCAGUUUUCAGUUUUGAUUUGAUUCACUCACUUGUAGUUAGGUAAAUACAGGCUCUGUGUGGCUCAAGGAUUGUCAGACUGGGGUAAGGGGCCAAAGAUACAGUGAUGAUGAAAAAAAGAAAAUUAAAUUAGAAAUCUUUCGGUUACUUCAGGAAUACGUGUAAGAAAUUGAGAUGCUGCCUCUUCCAUGAUGUCACACUGCAGAGAAAAAUCCAGACUGGAUAGAAAUGGUUGAUUGAAAGGAAUUCUGGAUGAAUACCUAGAAUCCUCUGGUAUUCCGAUUACUACAUACAUACAUGCUGGGCAAUGACUGGAGAGCUGAGAAGAGAGGAAAAGGAAAAGACUGAGGGUACAAGAGCUCUGAGUUUGGAUUAUUCAGGCUGCAUGGUGUGGGGAAAAACCAAGACUGGCUCUCAGAGGGUUAAAAACACCUGUCUGGAAGAGGACCCUGAAGAUUGCAGUUCAUCUCAGGGAACUUGCCCAGCCCUGAGCAUUAAGGCAGGAAGCCACCUAGAACGCUGUUCUCUGCCUUUGAGUCACACAGAACCACUUGCAGGAAGAACUCCAGAGAAUUUGGGAAGAAAGGAGAGAGAGGGCAGACAAAAGGUGCAUUUUUUUUUAAGAAGCAAGAAAACAUAA